rnacentral:rRNA from 1 species
UACGUAGGUGGCAAGCGUUGUCCGGAUUUACUGGGCGUAAAGAGCGCGCAGGCGGUCGGAUAAGUCGAAUGUGAAAGCCCCCGGCUCAACUGGGGAGGGUCAUUCGAUACUGUUCGACUCGAAGGCAGGAGAGGGAAGUGGAAUUCCCGGUGUAGUGGUGAAAUGCGUAGAUAUCGGGAGGAACACCAGUGGCGAAGGCGACUUCCUGGCCUGUUCUUGACGCUGAGGCGCGAAAGCCAGGGGAGCAAACAGG